UACGAAGGGGGCUAGCGUUGCUCGGAAUCACUGGGCGUAAAGCGCACGUAGGCGGAUUUCUAAGUUAGGGGUGAAAUCCCGGGGCUCAACCCCGGAACUGCCUUUAAUACUGGCAAUCUCGAGUCCGAGAGAGGUGAGUGGAAUUCCGAGUGUAGAGGUGAAAUUCGUAGAUAUUCGGAGGAACACCAGUGGCGAAGGCGGCUCACUGGCUCGGUACUGACGCUGAGGUGCGAAAGCGUGGGGAGCAAACAGG
rnacentral:rRNA from 1 species